AGUGAACGCUGGCGGUAGGCCUAACACAUGCAAGUCGAACGGCAGCACAGUAAGAGCUUGCUCUUACGGGUGGCGAGUGGCGGACGGGUGAGGAAUACAUCGGAAUCUACUUUUUCGUGGGGGAUAACGUAGGGAAACUUACGCUAAUACCGCAUACGACCUACGGGUGAAAGCAGGGGAUCUUCUGACCUUGCGCGAUUGAAUGAGCCGAUUUCGGAUUAGCUAGUUGGCGGGGUAAAGGCCCACCAAGGCGACGAUCCGUAGCUGGUCUGAGAGGAUGAUCAGCCACACUGGAACUGAGACACGGUCCAGACUCCUACGGGAGGCAGCAGUGGGGAAUAUUGGACAAUGGGCGCAAGCCUGAUCCAGCCAUACCGCGUGGGUGAAGAAGGCCUUCGGGUUGUAAAGCCCUUUUGUUGGGAAAGAAAAGCAGCAGGUUAAUACCCCGCUGUUCUGACGGUACCCAAAGAAUAAGCACCGGCUAACCUCGUG
rnacentral:rRNA from 1 species